rnacentral:tRNA from 1 species
GACGAGGUGGCAGAGUGGUUAAGGUGAUGGACUGCUAAUCCAUUGUGCAAAGCACGGUGGGUUCAAAUCCCAUUUUCGUCG